GAUGAACGCUGACAGAAUGCUUAACACAUCAGCAAUUGAUUGGUGGCGGACGGGUGAGUAACGCGUAAAGAACUUGCCUCACAGCUCGGGACAACAUUUGGAAACGAAUGCUAAUACCUAAUCCUGUGAGAGAGCUUUGCGUCCCAUUCGCUAGUUGGAGAGGUAACGGCUCACCAAGGCGAUGAUGGGUAGCCGGCCUGGGAGGGUGAUCGGCCACAAGGGGACUGGGACACGGACCUGACUCCGACGGGAGGCAGCAGUGGGGAAUAUUGGACAGUGGACCAAAGUCUGAGCCAGCAAUUCUGUGUGUACGAGGAAGUUUUCUGAAUAUAAAGUGCUUUCAGUUGGGAAGCGGUACCAACAGAAGAAGUGACGGCUAAAUACGUGCCAGCAGCCGCGGUAAUUC
rnacentral:rRNA from 1 species